rnacentral:rRNA from 1 species
UACAGAGGGGGCAAGCGUUGUUCGGAAUUACUGGGCGUAAAGGGCGCGUAGGUGGCCUUCUAAGUUGAACGUGAAAUCCCUGGGCUCAACCCAGGAACUGCGUCCAAGACUGGGAGGCUUGAAUCCGGGAGAGGGAUGCGGAAUUCCAGGUGUAGCGGUGAAAUGCGUAGAUAUUCGGAAGAACACCAGUGGCGAAGGCGGCUCACUGGCCCGGUACUGACGCUGAGGUGCGAAAGCGUGGGGAGCAAACAGG